GGACUGACCUAUGGUGUACCAGUUGUUUCGCCAGAAGCAUAGCUGGGUAGCUAAGUCGGGAAGGGAUAAACGCUGAAAGCAUCUAAGUGUGAAGCCCACCUCAAGAUGAGAUUUCCCAUAGCAUAAGCUAAUAAGACCCCUUGAAGACUACAAGGUUGAUAGGUCAGAGGUGUAAGUAUGGUAACAUAUUUAGCUGACUGAUACUAAUAGGUCGAGGGCUUGACCAAUAUA
rnacentral:rRNA from 1 species